ACCAGCCCAGCCCUGCGGCUGAUUAGUGGAAACCACUGCAAGUCCAUCAAGGCAAUCAAGGCAAGUCUGGAUGGAAAGAAAAAAAAAAAAGUAGUGUUUGCUGUUCUUUUAGAGGAGCAUUCCCGGGCAAACAGAUUUUAUAUGGGAAAAGUGAGAUGUGUCUGAACCCAUUCCAGCGUGUCCUGCACUUGCUUCUCACUAAUCAGGAAGUUUUGGACCAGCAGAAAAGCCCAGCAUCCCUGGGGGAGCAGUGUGUGCAGUACCUCUGGAGGCUCACCUCCCUGCUGUAUCUUGUGCACAUCUGUCACUGCUAGAGCCAGUGACAGGACUGAUGCUUCAAAUGGACAUCAUUCAACUAAAAAUGAUGGUCCUGGGGACUUCAGCUGUAGUGAAAUCUGGCCAAGAUGGUGUCUCUGGGGUAAAAGUACCAUUCUCUUUGAAUUCACUGGGACCCUAAAAAAUUCCUCACUCAACUCA